rnacentral:lncRNA from 1 species
CCGGAGCACUAUAUUUACCAAGUAAAUGUUUGUACAGCUCGAGGAACUAGUAAGAGGAGCACAAGAAAAAGAAAAAGAAAAAGAAACAAAUCAAAUAGGGACACAACAUCAAUCUGUAAAAUCCCCUAUACUUUGUAUCAACUGUGACUGCUUAUCCACAUUUACUCAGGAUAAAAGUUCAUAUACUCUAUUCUCUGCUGCAAUCUCCUCCUAGUCAUACGUCGAUUAUGCACUUCCUGCACAAUUUAUUUCAUCGCUGCUUCAAUACUUCUCUGCCUUUGUUGAAACACCCGGGUAUUUCUUUCCUUUCAGUUCUAAUUAGUAGUAGCAGCAAUACUCGUGCAUUUGAUUUCUGCAACUGUGUUGUUACCUUUGAAAUGUGUGGAAUCCCACUGUUCAUCCAACCAUUUCAAGGAAGGUCUAACCAACCCUUGCAAUUUUAAGAUCAUUUUCCAGACAAUAAUAGAGUACACGACACACUUAAAAACAAAUGUGCAAUGCUUUCCUCCUCAUCGUUGCACAAUGAACAGAAGGUAUUAUCAAUUUAUUCCCCACGUGUCCAACCUAUUUCUAGUUAACAGUUUUUCGCAAAUAACCAAUCUCAACAUAAAGAUCCACUUUCCUGCUCCAAAGUUGUUAUAUACUUCUUUUCUCCAAGAUACUUCAGGAAAUGGGCCGCUUAGCACUACAUAAAUAUUCUUUAUAAAGAACUUUUUUCAUCUCAAA